UACGAAGGGGGCUAGCGUUGUUCGGAUUUACUGGGCGUAAAGGGCGCGUAGGCGGAUUUUUAAGUCAGGGGUGAAAUCCCAAGGCUCAACCUUGGAACUGCCUUUGAUACUGGGAAUCUUGAGUCCGGGAGAGGUGAGUGGAACUGCGAGUGUAGAGGUGAAAUUCGUAGAUAUUCGCAAGAACCCCAGUGGCGAAGGCGGCUCACUGGCCCGGAACUGACGCUGAGGCGCGAAAGCGUGGGGAGCAAACAGG
rnacentral:rRNA from 1 species